UACAGAGGUCCCAAGCGUUGUUCGGAUUCACUGGGCGUAAAGGGUGCGUAGACGGUUGGGUAAGUCUGUCGUGAAAUCUCCGAGCCUAACUCGGAAACUGCGUCGGAUACUAUUCAACUCGAGGAAUGGAGGGGAGACUGGAAUUCUCGGUGUAGUAGUGAAAUGCGUAGUUAUCGAGAGGAACACCAGUGGCGAAGGCGAGUCUCUGGACAGUUCCUGACACUGAGACACGAAGGCCAGGGGAGCAAACGGG
rnacentral:rRNA from 1 species